UCGCUGGAGGAAGGCUCCUCUCUUCUUCCUCGAUGAAAGUCCACGACCCUGUAAUGGUCUUUUCCAUAUAAGGUUAUAUGUUAUAUACAUCUCAGCUCAAAUCCUGUUACCUACACAAGGCUUCCCCUUUGGCUUCCUGUUAUUUACACAAGGCUUUCCCCUUUUUGUCCUGAUGAAGAAAGAGUCUUUUCUAACUUAUCACACCCUUGGUGGUGGGCCACUUAGAGACUGAAACAAGUUGUCCAUAUCCAGUGUGAAUCUGGUGCUCUCAGGACAGGGAGAAAGGGAAAACUGUCCUUUGCCUUUCCUCACAGCCUGUGCUGUGGCUGACAGUGACAAGCUGUGGCUGUAGCCUCUGACGGCUUUGUUCUCUUUGACUGGAGGUGGGAGAGUUGACAUCCCAGCUGGCAGCCCCCCGAGAGUCCCAGGAAACAACUGUCCAGAGAGCCGAGCAAGAUGGGAGGGAGGCCCAGGAAGAGUCCAGGUAGAAGCUGUUGGAGAUUGAGCAUACCCAGAAGAUGCUGAAGGAGGAAGAAAAUCAGAAAAAAGGAUCUGCAAGUGCAUCUGAAGUACCUGGAGAGGGAAUGGAGUCAAUGGGAAGAAGUGGCUCAGCAAAAUUCAGAAUUGCAGGCUUCCGUGAAUGCCCUAGAGAGUGAAAAAAACAGGCUGAUUUUGUCUCUGGAGGAGAAGUACCAGUGCCUCAGAACGCUGGAAGAGAAGAAUCUGGCAGUGAACAAUCAGGUGUCUCAGUGUCAAUCUGCUCUUCAGCAGGCCAAACCGUGCUGGACAACUGCGGUAGCUCAACACCCAGAUGCAGGCCAUGCUGCUGGCAGAGAUAGAGAAGACAGCUCACCAGGCAACUCAAAAGAAGCAGCUGCUGG